UGGGGACACAGCCCAACCAUAUCACGCAGUGUCUACUCAUCUCACAUGUGGCAAAACAUGGCACCACUCCUGUGUCCAAUGGCCUUCCAGUUCUAGCAAUUGCUCUGUUUGUCUCUUAGUUCAAAUUCACAAGAUAAAGAAAUGGGUGGGUCCCAUUGGUCAGAUGUCUGACUCUGAUCAUCAGCUGUGCCCGUGGGAUGGGUUAAUAUAACUUAUGGCCUCUGAGCAGGGACCAUGCCAGGAAAGGCAAUGAUAGAUAUGCCUAGUAUAAGUAUUUACAGAAACAAGGCAAUAAGACUGAAGAUUAUUGGACAAUAAGUCUAAUCUUUUUUCUUAUUUGAUUACAUUUUUGUGGAUCUUUAUAGAAAAUAGCAUUUCAGUGCAUCUAGCAGUAUAUUAGGAAUAAGGUUUUUCUUCAAUGAAAGAUAAGACUUCAUAGAAUUAGCAAUAACUUAUCAUUCUGGGACCUUAAGGCCCAUCCCACACCUUAGAUUCAGAGCUUAUGUAGGGUUUUCUGGUUUUGUUUUUAAAUAUCUACACCGUGGAGUUGAGGCCAAUCCCUAGCUAGACCAUGGAUCAGUCUCUUUGGAUUCUUCCACUACAGGCUUAGAAAUCUAAAGAUUAUUGGAAGAGGCCAGGUGCGGUGGCUCACGCUUGUAAUUUCAGCACUUUGGGAGGCCAAGGUGGGUAGAUAACCUGAGGUCAGGAGUUUCAGACCAGCCUGGCCAACAUGGCAAUAUCCUGUCUCUACUAAAAAUAUAAACGUUAGCCAGACAUGGUGGUGGGUGUCUGUAAUCCCAGCUACUCAGGAGACUGAGGCAGGAGAAUCACUUGAACCCAGGAGGCAGAGGUUGCAGUGAGCCAAGAUGCACCUGGAUGACAGAAUGAGACUUGGUCUCUGGGAGAAAAAAAAGAUUAUUGAAAUUAUUAUUAUUAAGAAAUUUAAGAUGGACUAAACUUAAAAGAGUUGAUCUUCUAAGAACCAUGUCCUUAAGGAUGAGUUUAGUACAGGGACGACCUAAGAUGUCCAGAAUGGAAGGAAGCAACAUUUUAAUCCUACUUGCAACUAACUAGUCUGCCCCAUAGAUAUGAUGGAAAUAAAAGCUGAGUUACUUAAUUUUUCAUAAAUUCUGGCUAGACUUUUUUAAACAAAUGUAACACAUAUCAUCAUUAACAAAAAGUUAAUAGAGAAGUAGGUGGUAUUUUAUUGCUGAAUAGCAUCUUUUCUCCUAGUUCUUUUCUUUCAUCCAAGAGGAUACUCUGAAGUGGAAAACGGAAAAACUACAGUAAGGUUUGUUUUCACUUUCUGGAGGAGGGAGUAUCCUUCAUAUUAGCUCGAUUUUAAAUGGACUUAGUAAAUAGUUUCCUCCACUGAGAAAGAUUUGCCUCUUGCUCAGCAGCCAUGAAGUUGAUAAGCUAAGAGAGAGAAGCCUAGCAUUGUAUGGAAUGUGUAUGGCAAAUAAAUGGUGGAAGUAUUGACAAAGCAGAAGCAACAGAGGGCAUUUCUUGCUGUUAGGGCAGCAACCUUUUGUACUAUAAAAGUACACGGAGCAAUUCUCAGAGGGACCCAGUAAAACCUCUAGACAACUACAGGCAGUACCCUGGCAGAAGAUGUCCACCAUCAACUCUCUAGGGAAGGAGAGUUCAUAUUGACAUGAGACCAUGGUACAUCUAAGUUAAUUGUCAGUCAUUCUAUAUAUAAAUUCCCUCAUGGUGUUAUUCAGAUAUUUUCCAAUAGUUUAUUCAUAAAAGAACCUCAUUUAGAUUUCAUUGCUGUGGACUAUCUAAACUGGGAUACACCUUAAUUGUACCCAUUCAGGUACAGCUUAAAUGGAUAGCACACACUUGGGCCUUUUGGAGGGUGAAAGGGUGGGAGGAGGAAGAGGAUCAGGAAAAAUAAUUAAUGGGUACUAGGCUUAAUACCUGGGUGAUGAAAGGAUCUGUACAACAAACCCCCAUGACACAGGUUUACCUAUGUAACAAACCUGCACUUGCACCCCUGAGCUUAACAUAAAAGUUAAAAAAAGAAAAGAUAUUUUUUAAAAAUAUAAAUUACACCUUUAUAAAAUAAAAAAUCUUAGAAAGAAGGAACAUCCUAUCAGACAUGAAAUGAUAAUGCAAACUUUGAUCUUCAUUAGAGGAAGGACUGCAACUCUAGAGCUGAGGCAUGGAUCGGGAGACGCAUCAAGCAGCUAAGAUUGGCAGUGCAUGCACCAGAAGAAUACGUGAUGUGAAGGCAGCCCAACUUCUGAUUCCAAGGGUCCAGGAGAGAUGCAUGGCCACCUGAAAGAUCCAGGGGACAUGGCAAAAAGAACCUGAAUUCAUCAUGAGGAAGGAACCCAUCACAAGGAAGCAACCUAUGAAGGCAGCCAUUAGGCAAGGGACAUCUGAGAUGGGCACUGCAAGCAUGUUCAAGAAAACACCUCUUCUGCCAGCUAGAGGCUCCCCCGCCCAGUGGAGGAGGAAUCAAAUUCCACCAUCUUUAAUCUGGCUACACCAUAUUUGAAUAAUAAUCCUGAAAUUCACAUUGAUGCUCAAGAAGUCGCUUCUUCAAAACUUUAAGGUAACAAUUAAGUAUUCCAUUGUCAUGGCUCAAUUAAAUGGUUUGGCCUGAGAAAAUUGGGGAUUGUAAAGUGAGGAUGGAAUGUGCUUUGAUCCUUUUUCCAGGGUUAUUGUUUCAUUAAUAAAUGAACAUGUCAUUUGUCUCACCAGAGGGAGCUCAUGCCCUCCAGGCUUUUUUCCCUUUUUUGUUCAGGUUUUAUAAAGAUGAAUUUCCAGUGCUCUGAAAUACCAUGGAUUAGUAGUUAAGCCUGACAGCACUUCGGGGAGUAGCGAGCUUAAAGUGCCUCACACAGGUCUCCAAAGCACUUGUUUACUAAUAGAGGAAAUCAGCAACCGUCUGCAGCUGCUGAUAUCGCAUUACCAUUUGGAAAGACAGUAGCUGAGAUAACAAAUCACACAGUUUUAAUAAUUACUCCUGCAUUCCCGUUUUUUGUUUCCUGCAUAACUGUAAAGGCUGGAUUUCUUCCAAAUAAACAGAUAAAAACAGUA